GACAGAGGUGCCGAGCGUUAGGCGGAAUCACUGGGCUUAAAGCGUGUGUAGGCGGAUGUCUAAGUGCCUUGUGAAAUCCCAUGGCUCAACCAUGGAACUGCUGGGCAUACUGGACGUCUUGAGCCAUCCAGGGGUCGCUGGAACAAACGGUGGAGCGGUGAAAUGCGUAGAUAUCGUUUGGAACGCCAAAGGUGAAGACAGGCGACUGGGGAUGUGUCUGACGCUGAGACACGAAAGCCAGGGGAGCAAACGGG
rnacentral:rRNA from 1 species